rnacentral:rRNA from 1 species
GUAGCGGCGAGCGAACGGGGAGCAGCCCAGAGCCUGAAUCAGUGUGUGUGUUAGUGGAAGCGUCUGGAAAGGCGCGCGAUACAGGGUGACAGCCCCGUACACAAAAAUGCACAUGCUGUGAGCUCGAUGAGUAGGGCGGGACACGUGGUAUCCUGUCUGAAUAUGGGGGGACCAUCCUCCAAGGCUAAAUACUCCUGACUGACCGAUAGUGAACCAGUACCGUGAGGGAAAGGCGAAAAGAACCCCGGCGAGGGGAGUGAAAAAGAACCUGAAACCGUGUACGUACAAGCAGUGGGAGCACGCUUAGGCGUGUGACUGCGUACCUUUUGUAUAAUGGGUCAGCGACUUAUAUUCUGUAGCAAGGUUAACCGAAUAGGGGAGCCGAAGGGAAACCGAGUCUUAACUGGGCGUUAAGUUGCAGGGUAUAGACCCGAAACCCGGUGAUCUAGCCAUGGGCAGGUUGAAGGUUGGGUAACACUAACUGGAGGACCGAACCGACUAAUGUUGAAAAAUUAGCGGAUGACUUGUGGCUGGGGGUGAAAGGCCAAUCAAACCGGGAGAUAGCUGGUUCUCCCCGAAAGCUAUUUAGGUAGCGCCUCGUGAAUUCAUCUCCGGGGGUAGAGCACUGUUUCGGCAAGGGGGUCAUCCCGA